AUUGAACGCUGGCGGCAGGCUUAACACAUGCAAGUCGAGCGGAGAUGAGGUGCUUGCACCUUAUCUUAGCGGCGGACGGGUGAGUAAUGCUUAGGAAUCUGCCUAUUAGUGGGGGACAACAUUCCGAAAGGAAUGCUAAUACCGCAUACGCCCUACGGGGGAAAGCAGGGGAUCUUCGGACCUCGCGCUAAUAGAUGAGCCUAAGUCGGAUUAGCUAGUUGGUGGGGUAAAGGCCUACCAAGGCGACGAUCUGUAGCGGGUCUGAGAGGAUGAUCCGCCACACUGGGACUGAGACACGGCCCAGACUCCUACGGGAGGCAGCAGUGGGGAAUAUUGGACAAUGGGCGGAAGCCUGAUCCAGCCAUGCCGCGUGUGUGAAGAAGGCCUUUUGGUUGUAAAGCACUUUAAGCGAGGAGGAGGCUACUUAGAUUAAUACUCUAGGAUAGUGGACGUUACUCGCAGAAUAAGCACCGGCUAACUCUGUGCCAGCAGCCGCCGUAAGAC
rnacentral:rRNA from 1 species